AGCUCAAAACCCGGNGGACUUGACGGUGUCCCACCCACCNAAGAGGAGCCUGUUCUAUAAUCNAUACCCCCCGCUAUACCUCACCACUUUUAGCCUAUCANCCUGUAUACCUCCGUCDUAAGUUUACCGUGUGAACGCUUGUADUAAGCNAAAUGACUUUCCGUCAGUACUUCNGGUCAAGGUGCACCCCAUAAAGUGGCAAGCAAUGGGCUACAAUUUCUAAUUNAAAACAAACGGAUAAACUGUAAUNAAACAGUUUANAAGGAGGAUUUAGUANUAAAAAGGAAUUAUGAUUANCCCUUUUAAUUCGGCACUGGGACUUGUACACCCCCCCCCUC
rnacentral:rRNA from 1 species